CCUACGGGAGGCUGCAGUGGGGAAUAUUGGGCAAUGGGCGCAAGCCUGACCCAGCAACGCCGCGUGAAGGAAGAAGGCUUUCGGGUUGUAAACUUCUUUUGUCAGGGAAGAGUAGAAGACGGUACCUGACGAAUAAGCCACGGCUAACUACGUGCAAGCAGCCGCGGUAAUACGUAGGUGGCAAGCGUUGUCCGGAUUUACUGGGUGUAAAGGGCGUGUAGCCGGGUUGACAAGUCAGAUGUGAAAUCCUGCGGCUUAACCGGAGAACUGCAUUUGAAACUGUUGAUCUUGAGUACUGGAGAGGCAGAUGGAAUUCCUGGUGUAGCGGUGAAAUGCGUAGAUAUUAGGAGGAACACCAGUGGCGAAGGCGGUCUGCUGGACAGCAACUGACGGUGAGGCGCGAAGGCGAGGGGAGCAAACAGGAUUAGAUACCCCAGUAGUC
rnacentral:rRNA from 1 species